rnacentral:misc_RNA from 2 species
CUGCCCUCAAGCCCGGCUUGUGUGUUGGGUCUCGUCCCCCGUUCGGGGGGCGGGCCCGAAAGGCAGCGGCGGCACCGCGUCCGGUCCUCGAGCGUAUGGGGCUUUGUCACCCGCUCUGUAGGCCCGGCCGGCGCCUGCCGAUCAACCAAUUUCUUUCCA